AUGACCAAAGGAGCUGCCAGUGGGGAAGUUGUUCUGACCCAGUCUCCAACCGUCCUCACCGUACCUCUAAGAGAGAGCAUAUCCAUUAUCUGCAGGGCCAAUGAGGACGUUAGUGAUUACUUAACAUGGUAUCAGAAGAAACCAGGCCAGCCUCCUAAGAUUCUCAUCUAUGACGCAGAUAACCGAUAUUCUGCUGCACCAGCUAGGUUCAGUGGAAUACAGUCUGGCAAAGAAUUUAUUCUCACAGUCAGCAACGUAGAGGCUGAUGAUGCUGCUAAUUAUUACUGCCAACAGGACUAUAAAUUUCCUUGCACAGUGUUACACCUCUGA